AUUGAACGCUGGCGGCAGGCCUAACACAUGCAAGUCGAGCGGAUGAAGGGAGCUUGCUCCUGGAUUCAGCGGCGGACGGGUGAGUAAUGCCUAGGAAUCUGCCUGGUUGUGGGGGAUAACGUCCGGAAACGGGCGCUAAUACCGCAUACGUCCUGAGGGAGAAAGUGGGGGAUCUUCGGACCUCCCGCUAUUAGAUGAGCCUAGGUCGGAUUAGCUAGUUGGUGGGGUAAAGGCCUACCAAGGCGACGAUCCGUAACUGGUCUGAGAGGAUGAUCAGUCACACUGGAACUGAGACACGGUCCAGACUCCUACGGGAGGCAGCAGUGGGGAAUAUUGGACAAUGGGCGAAAGCCUGAUCCAGCCAUGCCGCGUGUGUGAAGAAGGUCUUCGGAUUGUAAAGCACUUUAAGUUGGGAAGAAAAGCAGUAAGUUAAUACCUUGCUGUUUUGACGUUACCAAAAGAAUAAGCACCGGCUAACUUCGUG
rnacentral:rRNA from 1 species